GCCAGUAUGGUGUAGUGGUUUGAACAUUAGACUAUAACUGUGGAGACCAAGGUUCAAUUCCUCGCUCAGCCA